rnacentral:rRNA from 1 species
GACCGAGGGUGCGAACGUUGUUCGGAAUUACUGGGCGUAAAGCGCGUGUAGGCGGCAGCGCAAGUCGGGCGUGAAAUCCCACGGCUCAACCGUGGAAGUGCACUCGAAACUGCGCAGCUAGAGUCCUGGAGAGGAAGGUGGAAUGCUUGGUGUAGAGGUGAAAUUCGUAGAUAUCAAGCGGAACACCGGUGGCGAAGGCGGCCUUCUGGACAGUGACUGACGCUGAGACGCGAAAGCGUGGGGAGCAAACAGG